AUCACAUCUUGGAAAACUUUUCUAAAUUGGCAUUACUUGGAUAGACUGAACACAUGUUUGAAAACUAGAUGGUUAUUUUCUGAAAAAUAUCAAAACACACGAAAGUGGCAUAAUAACAGUCCUGGGACAAAAACUAUAACAGCUUUGAGCCAAUAAUGCAUCCAUUCUAGCGUUGCACACAUGAACGCACUGUUCCAUUCCCUGAAUACAAUUAGCUCGCUCACACGCUGCUCCGGCUGAACGAUAUGAUGGGAAUGACACAAAUGCGCAUGUGCAAUGGGUCCCACACUCGGAAGCAAAACAUUUUUUUUGGCGAAUGCGCCAGGCGAGCAGCUUUUACUGGAGAGAAUGGGCGCCAUGUUUCUGUCCGGUAUCUAGGUUUUAGGCAUACACAUUUUGCAAAAGGAGAGUUAGUUAACAGUAAGGUUCAACAUGGCCACUGCAACGCUUCAGACAUUCAACGUCUUUCUGACGGAACGAUUAACCGCAGCUGCGGUAGACAUUUAUGGAUUCGUUGAAAAGACAAUCAUAGACUACCAAGAAGAGGUAUACCGAACGAAAAUGGAGAACCAGAGGCUGCAGCGGCUCCUGGAUUUGGUCUACAAACCAGAAAUUAGACUGCAUAGAACAGGUAAACUACAGAGAGGUGCCCUCAACUGAGCAGUGACAGGAGCCAGACUCUUCUACCUGAUGUUCUUCUAUGGACAAAGAGGCUGAAUUGAAGGACCACCUUGGAUAGACAGAUGGAUGAUGCUUGCAUUAUUCAUUGAGAGACACUGUACUAUGUUUAAAACAACAGGAGUAACAACUUCAAGAAUUGUAGUGCUCAGCUAAUAUGUUAUAUACAUUUUAAAGACCCACUCCACUCAAAAAAAAAAGUUCAUAUUUUUAUACCCCAUUAAUAUCAUUCCUCCACUAUACUGACAGUUGUAGAUGCAUAGUUUGUUACUAACAGGGUGUUUUUACAUUCCUCAGCUGAAGGGGACGGAUAUCUGUUUCCUCCCAAAAAAAUCCGAGUUUGAAAGAGGCUUGGGCAGACUUGAUUUGUGACGACAAAUUUGGACAGCCAGAUUUGGUUCUUGGGUUUUCUGGAGUUCAGGAGAAAUCUGAAGCCUCUGGGCUCAGCAGCCAGAACUAACUUUUCAGCACCAGGUGGCAAAAGUUGUUUCUGUUGACAGCAAAUAUGCUAGAUUGCACAAUUUUUGGAUAUAAACCAAACCCUGGAGCUUCUUUAUACAAUUUAUAUAAUUACUAUUAAGCUAACACUGUGAGCUAGUGUGAAACAUGCAUCAUUAUUAGCAGCUGGUUAGCUAUGGUUUUGGCUUCUGGUAGCAGCCUGAGGGCUGCAUUUAGCCAUCUGCUAAUAACACUUAAGCUCCCAGUCUUAUGUUAACGUUACUGUGAGGUUGUAGUUCAACUGAAAAAAUGAAGAGAUGCUGACAUCAUAUUGAAUGUUAUGAGAUGUGCAAUUAGUUACUGAUGUUUAACAACUAAGCUAUGUUUGUCUCACUGCUAAAGCUAAUGGUUAGCCUCUUGCUAACUUAGCCUCUGCUAAAAAUGCCAUUCUUCAGGUUCUCUGUUGCCAGAUUGCGUUUUUCUUAAUCAUUGAGCAAAAACAAACAGAUACUAACAUACUGGCAAAC